AAGCGUUCAUAGCGACGUUGCUUUUGAUCUUUCGAUGUCGGCUCUUCUAUCAUUGAGACGCAGAAGUCUCAAAGUGUCGGAUUGUUCACCCGCCAAUAGGGAACGUGAGCUGGGUUUAGACCGUCGUGAGACAGGUUAGUUUUACCCUACUGACAAAGUAGAUACUGCGACAGUAGUCGAAGUUAGUACGAGAGGAACACUUCGUCCAGAUACUUGGUUAAUGCCGUUGUCUGAAAAGACAGUACGGCGAAGCUACCAUCUGCUGGAUUACGGCUGAACGCCUCUAAGCCGGAAUCCAUGCUGGAUAAGCAGUGUUGUACACCGUGCUCAAUGCUACAAGAAAAAGGCUAGGUCAGGCUUCGGCCUGACCAAAAUUCAAGCUGCUAUACCUCUGGCUGCAUUGACUUGUGGUCAGAGUGUAUGGUGAUCAUAGCAAUUGCAAGUAUUGGGCUCGAUAAAUCCUUUGAAGACGACUUAAUUGCAUCCGGGUAUUGUAAGUGUUGAGAGUAGGCUUAGUCUUACGAUCCACUGAGAUUCAUCCCGUGUUGCGCCGAUUUGU
rnacentral:ncRNA from 1 species